UAAGAGCAUGGCUGCUAACCAAAAGGUCAGCAGUUUGAAUACACCAGCUGUUCCUUGGAAACCCUAUGGGGCAGCUCUACUCUGUCCUAAAGGGCCACUAUGAGUUGGAAUCAACUCAGCGGCCAUGGGUUUGGUUUUGGUUUUUUUAAGUGGCUAGGAUGAGUGAUAGAGCUGGUAGAGGGAGAGACUACAGGAUUUCAGAAGGUGGGGAGUGUCCUAGAUUUUGUCCUAGCAGAUCUCUAAGUAGCCACUAUGGCCCAAGGGCUUAAGGUAACAACAGAAACUUUACAGCGUUAGAUAAGCAAACACAUAGCAAAAGUGUACACUGAGAGGCUAGACAAAUGUGGCAGGUAAUGAAGGGAAGUAUGGCAGGCUGCCCUUUCACAGAGGGUAGGCUAUUAGCCCACACCAGCUAAUGGAGCCUGGAUGGCACACUGCAGGGGCUUCACCCGGAAGGGUAAGCACUGCGUAGUGUGGCAGUCCAUACCACCCUCAGAAGUGCUGUGUUAUGUCAAAAAAAGCUCUACCUACAAAACACUACUCUGUAACACAAGAAAAGCAAACAAAAGUAAACCAAGAAGUGCCUGCCAUUAUUGACUGCAAGAUGUUUUUAAAAACGGGCAAGGAGUGUGUUGUGGUCAUUUCAGAUCCUGUGUGGCUGGGUAGACGUUGGGCAAUGUAUGACUCACAGAUGACCUAGGGAAAUAGGCAAGCAGCUUCUCUAGGGGCCUGACGGAGAAAAGGGAGAACAGAGCCUGAGGGAGACCUGAGAAAGAAUGCCAGAGAUUAAAUUGUGGAGAGGAAUUUGCCUACCUACUUACUGCUCCUUGGGCUGAGGCCUCCCAACUUUGUACACUGGCUUUUGGAUCUCCCAAACACACAGGCAAUUGUCCAAAUGCCCUGACUAGGCCUCCUCUUGCUAUCGCUUUUUGGUUCUUUGCCCAUUGAUAUCUCACUAGUAUUUCCCUGUUCAGACUCACAUGGCCAUAUGCCCACUCCUACAUACAGGUUCUUGGCUGGUUCCUAAGAGCUUGGCCUCUGUCUGCCCUUAUCUCCUGGCCUGGCUGCAUAGGUCUGCCCUACUCUGGUCUACCCUGAUGGUACUAACAACUGAAACUAGGCAGCAUGUGGACAGGAGUGCCUUGUGCUGUCCACCUGUGCAAAGAAAACCGAGCCCUGGGAGAAUGCUCUUAGGAGUCACCUUAACCAAAAUACAGCUUGACCUUGCACUUCUUUGCAGUGUGAUGUGACUCAUUUCACACAGGCACGUGCACCAACAUGGAGACAGAACUAUGAUAGUCAGAGUUGGGAAAGGGGUGGAGAAGCCAGGAUCCAGGGGAAUAGUCCUUGAUGGAGCAGGGACACUUUUUUCGUUUUGUUUUUAGGGAGCAUCAGCAGGUGUGAACCCAAGACUCAGCUGGUCUACAAGAUGGAUUGUGGUACCUGCUUUGGAAACUCCCACAUAUAUGGACACAUGACAACGGGGAUUUCCAGAAAGCUUGCACACUUAACCUGCAAUAGACGAUACUUCCCUUCUGUGGGUCUCAACCUCUCUAUCUGACUAAGAAAGAAUAAUGCCAAUCCAUUUCACUAGUUGAAGGAAGUGAUUGUGGAAGAGAAGGGAGAAGUUUGUUAGAAUCAGCAGCCCAAGUUUAGAUUUAAGCACUCCCUGAAAAAUUUCAGAAAGGUCUGUCUUGUCCUUUGUUAACAGAAAAAAAUCACUCCUUCAUGCCACAGCCGUAUAUUGAGCUCCUCUCUGUGCCAAGCAGCGUGAAGUUGAAAAGCCACAAAGGCUGAGAGUCAGGGGCCCACACUGCAAUGCAAUUUCUGAUGUAAUCAAGAAAUAUUUAUUGAGUGGUGUUCAAGGUUAAAGAAGUAUAAGACAUACUUGGCCCCGUUCCUGCAAGAGCUUGUAAUUCUUGCUGGGGAGGCAAGACAAACUCAUCUGAAACAACAAGAACAACAUCAGGCAAUCUAUAACCAAGUUCUCAAUUGUGUGGUACAGACUUCAACUGCUGUUGGAAUUCAGAAUGAGGAGGAUCAAUGAGAGAGCGAGUCCACCACAGCUAAAUCACUCAGACUGAGGCAUUCAUUAGUCGGAGCCAUUGUUCAUGCUACAGAUUUUUCAGUUCUAAACCGUGAAUGCCAGUCAGAAUGCCUCAAUCACAUGGAUGACUCGAGAUCUCUAGAGUUUCAUUUCAAGUUUCUAAAAUCACAAGACCACUCUGGGUCUUGCUCUGCUCAUUGUAGUCCCACCCACCACCUAACUCUGACUGUGAACCAAAGUUUUCUCACUCCCGUGGGUGGAUGGGUGGAUGAGAAGAGGGACUCCCCACCCCCACCUCUACUGCCAAACCUGACCAGGCCAUUUCAACAAGGCUGGGCAAGUGAACUCGCACCUGCACCCCAUUCCCACCUCACCCCAAGCCCCUCAGCCCUCUGGGAGCUCUCAAUUACUGGUAAUAAUGCUCUCAUUUGUUUGGAAGGCCUGUGGCUACUUAUUGACUAUAUGGGCAUCGGUUGACAGGAUGUGGGCAGGGAGGGGAGGAGGAGGAAAAAGAGGAGGGGCCUACAGAAUUAGACAAACAGAAUUAGAGAGAGCGCUAAAGCAGAGAUCACAGGGAACAAAGGACCAGAACAGGUUGUCUGCCUUGAAACACAUCUCUUUCCAUACAUCCUUAGGACACCCUGUCACACCAGAGGGCUAAAUCACAAGCAGCAUGUGUCAACUGGGGAAAGCUGCUGCCCUACCUAGGCUUGCCAGGUGUGCUGUGGGCUCCUCUGGGUGAGGACUCCUUCUCUCUAUGCACACGACUCCAUAGGGCAAUGGCCCAGCCCUUUUGAAGCCCGGAGUGUCUUCAUUCCAAGUGAUGAGUUGGGAGAGUCUUUAAAACCUGUCUGAAACAGGGAAACUAGAUUCCCUUUCAGUGAGAAAGUCAAUGAGCAACCCAUGCCCCCGUCCUUUUUUUUUUCCAUGCCCCUUUUGAAAGAACAUUUGUUGGGAUGGGGCAUAGAUUGUUGUUGUGUUGUUGCUAGGUGCCAUCAAGUCAAUUCCAAUCCAUAGCGACUCCAUGUGACAGCAUAGAACUGUCCCAUAGGGUUUUCUUGGGUGUAAUUUUUACAAAAGCAGAUUGCCAGGUCUUUCUCUCAUGGUGCUGCUGGGUGGGUACAGAUUAGUAGCCCAAAAUCAAACAGAUGGAGACAGGAGAGUGCAAGCUUCUCCAGACCUGGGAACCCCUGAGGUCCAGCUGGCCCCAGCUGAUGUCCAGUUUGACAGAGGUCAUUCCUGGAGAUGGAUGGUAAAAAACUAACUGCAUGGUGAGAUUUCAGGGGCACAGCACCCUCAUUUAACUUUCCCUGUGUCUCUGGUGUGUGACGUUCAAAGAACACUAGCAGUUCAUCAAAAGCAUUGAUUCAGCAUGAAUCUGGCUUUAACAACGUUAACAAAAGGAUGCUAGUCAAGUCUCCCUGAAUUCCUAAGAAAAAGGAGCCUAAAUCUGAAAUCUGUGGGACCCUACUUUGGUUUGCUAAAAGCCUUGAGAAGCCCUGAUCUAAAUCUCUUUGCACUAAGAGUGUGGCUUGGAGAUUCCUGAGCCAUGUGUACCACUGAGGAA